UCGAGUCAUAGCUUAUUAGAGAGCUUUUUGUUUACAUUAAAUUGGUGCUUGUGCGAUACAAGCUGUCUCGA
rnacentral:tRNA from 1 species